rnacentral:rRNA from 1 species
UACGAAGGUCCCGAGCGUUAUCCGGAUUUAUUGGGUUUAAAGGGUGCGUAGGCGGGUUAUUAAGUCAGUGGUGAGAGCCUUCAGCUUAACUGAAGAACUGCCAUUGAUACUGAUGAUCUUGAGUAUGAUUGAGGUGGGCGGAAUGUGUCAUGUAGCGGUGAAAUGCUUAGAUAUGACACAGAACACCGAUUGCGAAGGCAGCUCACUAAGCCAUAACUGACGCUGAUGCACGAAAGCGUGGGGAGCAAACAGG